CAAGCUCUGGCGUUCCUGCUUGAUACCUUAAGACCAGAAAGUGGAGCAUAUGAUCAAGACUUCAGUCUUGCUGCCCAAGAGAGCACCCCUUACCUGCCAGACUCUGAGUUCCCUUGCCCAGAACCUGGAAGGCUCCAUACAUACUUGAGAGGUGAUGGGACUAUGGAAAUCAGGAGUUCUACUCACCUCACAUCCAGACACAGUAUGGUUCUCCACUCCUGCCCUAAUGCUCAGGUCCCUUUCAUCCAAAAGUGUGUGUUGUGGGUGGAGGUGAUGGUGUAAUUGCCACAGACUACGAUGUAAAUGGCAGAGUCAUGCCAUGUGGUGGCCCUGGUCUUGAAAGACAUUGAAGAGUUUGCCAUUUAGAGAGGGCAGAAGUGGCCAGGCUUGCCAAACAGAGAGCAGUGUGUGGGAAGGCCGAGGGCUUUGACGUGUCAUGAAGAGAAGUUCAACUGCAUGGGGCGCCUGGGGGUGUGAGGGGAUAACUGGAUGUGGCUGGAUUAAGCACAUCCUUGAGGAGAUCACAGCCAGAUUCAUCAGAUGCCCUCAGCCCCGGGCCCUGGCCAGCCCAGACAUCCCCAGUCAGAGCAACUGGAUUGCCAGGGCUGUACUUCCUGCCCUAGCUGUACGUUUUCCCCUGGUGUGGCUGAGAGUGGAUAGCGAACAGGAGACCUACGGUUUCCAAAGAAAAGGGUGCAGCUGAGGCUAAACCAAGAAAGGAAGUGGCAGCACUUUGCUGAGAAGAGCUGGUCCGCAGCUGCUUGACUCAGAGCUGCCAGCUCAGUUCACAGCCGACAGACAGCCCUGGGUGGAGGAUGAGCUUGGGCGACGAAAGCCUGUGUCCACGUCCCAGCUCCACCACCUCCUAGGGAUGGGCAAGCUGCUUAACCUCUGGAGGCCUCCGUUUUCUCAUGUGUAAGAUGAGGACAGUGGUAGUCCCUACCUCGUAGGGCUACAAGAAGAGAAAAUGACAUAUUGCAGAGAGCACAAAUAAGAGUGAAUUAUCAUUGUUAACUUUUCCUUCUCUUUUCAUCUUCAUGGGACUCAGACCCACUAUGUGCAUUUAUAUUAGAAGCGGAGAGGAAAGGGGUAUUGAGUCUCCUACCGAGUCUCUGCCUGAGGCUUCCCGCUAAUGACCCUCUUAAUCUCCCCGGCCCCACAAGGAGUGCAGUUAAGAUCUCUCACUGGCAGGGAAGCUGUAACUCAGAGAAGCUGAGUCUCUCGUGUAAGAUCCUCAGCUAACUGGAGGCAGAAAAAGAAUUCUGUUCAUCCCCCAAAUUCCUGCCCAUUUCAUCAGUCAGGCCACCCCCAGCUGUGCUGCCCUCCCCAGUCCAAAUUGCCACAAGCUUGGUGCCACCCGCCCCUGCACACCUGCUGCCGUGGGAACAGGGCUGCUUGCCCCUCAGUCACACAGACCUGGCACAUGGCUCUUGUUCUAUGGCCAAACUGACCCAGGCCAGCACAGAGCCAGGUGUGCCAUCUGCGGGCUGAGGACUGCCGCGGGUCACAGGCACCCUUUUGACAAGGAGACAGAGUCCACUGCCUAUCAGAAAACCGGAAUUUGGAGGAAAACAUUGGUCAGAAAAAUCUGUGUGUGCUUCUAGCCCACAUGGAGUUUCUGGGGCUGAGGGAAGCCUGUCAGGGUACGAGGAACCCCGAGAGAGGGAGGCUGGAAAGGAUUUUAACGAGGCAGGAUCGCAUGGGGGGCAGGAGAGUUGGGGCGGCGUUCCCAUACGACACAUCCUACCCGCUCUCUAACAGGGCUUAGCCGUCUCCUGUACAAAGUGGGAAACUGAGGCUCAGGCACCCUGGGGAGAGGCUGCUUCAUGCGACAGAAAGAGCUGGGCUUGCAGUUCUCUGAGAUCUUUGUUCCAAUUCUAGCUUCCUUACUCAUUUUGCCUUGCGAUCCAGGGCCGGGAGCCUAUCCCCUAACCGCUGUGGUCACACGACUAUACACUCACACGCACUGAGUGCUGGCCAAGGGCCGGGCCUG
ensembl:lncRNA